rnacentral:rRNA from 1 species
UAGAGGAAGUAAAAGUCGUAACAAGGUCUCCGUUGGUGAACCAGCGGAGGGAUCAUUACUGAGUUACCGCUCUAUAACCCUUUGUGAACAUACCUACAACUGUUGCUUCGGCGGGUAGGCCGUCCCCUGAAAAGGACGCCUCCCGGCCCGGACCGGACCCCCCGCGGGACCGGACCCGGCGCCCGCCGGAGGAUAACCAAACUCUAUUGUAACGACGUUUCUUCUGAGUGGCAUAAGCAAAAUAAUCAAAACUUUUAACAACGGAUCUCUUGGUUCUGGCAUCGAUGAAGAACGCAGCGAAAUGCGAUAAGUAAUGUGAAUUGCAGAAUUCAGUGAAUCAUCGAAUCUUUGAACGCACAUUGCGCCCGCCAGCAUUCUGGCGGGCAUGCCUGUUCGAGCGUCAUUUCAACCCUCAAGCUCUGCUUGGUGUUGGGGCUCUACGGUCGACGUAGGCCCUCAAAGGUAGUGGCGGACCCUCCCGGAGCCUCCUUUGCGUAGUAACAUUUCGUCUCGCACUGGGAUCCGGAGGGACUCUUGCCGUAAAACCCCCCAAUUUUCCAAAGGUUGACCUCGGAUCAGGUAGGAAUACCCGCUGAACUUAAGCAUAUC